rnacentral:lncRNA from 1 species
CUUUUUUAUUGCUUCUUGAUAUCCCGACACAUUUAUAUACAUAUUGUCAUUGCUGCUAUUUUUUUAUUUUAAAUUUAAAGUUUCUACUAACAGGGCUUUUUAAUACGUUUAAUUUUUGUAGGUUUUAGUUUUUAAGACAACAAAAAAGUUGAAGCGAUGAAUAGGUUACCUAUACUUAUCGCUGUAGUGCAUUUAAUAUUUGUUUUACAUACACACGCAUGGGAGAGUAAUCUUUUUAUAAGGAGAAGGAUAUUUGGUGAUGGACGGACA